rnacentral:rRNA from 1 species
UACGGAGGGUGCAAGCAUUAAUCGGAAUUAUUGGGCGUAAAGGGCGCGUAGGCGGACGUAAAAGUCAGAUGUGAAAUUCCGAGGCUCAACUUCGGAACUGCAUUUGAAACUUUACAUCUUGAGGGAUGGCGGAGAAAACGGAAUUCCACGUGUAGCGGUGAAAUGCGUAGAUAUGUGGAAGAACACCUGUGGCGAAAGCGGUUUUCUAGCUAUUUCCUGACGCUGAGGCGCGAGAGCAAGGGGAGCAAACAGG